ensembl:lncRNA
GGGGGUCCCCAGCGCUCUGCUGGUGUCUCGCUCCCUCUCCCCCACGCAGUUCCUGUCGGGCGCCACCUCCCCUGCACCUCCCCCAGCCCCUCCUGCCUCAGCUACCCCACCUCACCCCCCCCGCCGGCCAAGCCCUUCGCCGUGAAGCCCCUCCCCUACUGGACCAAGUACGACGUGGCGGACUGGCUGGCCUACCUCAACCUGGGCGAGCACCGCGAGCGCUUCCUGGACAACGAGAUCGACGGCUCGCACCUGCCCUCGCUCACCAAGGACGACUUCCUGGACCUGGGGGUGACCCGCGUGGGACACCGCAUGAACAUCGAGAGGGCGCUGAAGGGUCUGACGGACAGCUCUCCUGGCCUCUGCUCUCCCUUGCAUGUCUCCCCCUCUCCCCGACACACAGACUGAGAGAGGGAGAGAGAGGCUGGGAGCCCAGGAGUAGAGGGAGGGAGACGGAAAGAUGGAGCGUUGGAACCAGCCGGCGGACCGGCGUGGAGCGCCCGGGGAAGACCUGGACCCCCCCGAGGGGCAGGGGGUGAACAUCAUGGAGGCACUGAGCGCCCCGCGGGGAGGGAGGACUCUGCACGCACGUUCACCUUCUGGAGCGCGCUGUCGUAGAUGAACAACCACACACACACACACUCACUCACUGUCACACACACACACACACACACACACUCAGUGACAGAGCCCAUCUGUUGGCUAGACUCAUGGCGUGUUGGCGAUGGGGCUGAUCUCCGUGGCGAUGGGGCGGAUCUCCGUGGCGAUGGGGCGGAUCUCCGUGGCGAUGGAGAUCCCUUAAGCCUUGCUUCUACAGACGGUUUCCGUGGAAGCCAGACGCUGACAUUAGGACGACACUUUUAAACAGCCUCCGACAAACGGGGACAGCCAAUCAUUGAACCACAGGAGCGGAGGUCAGCCUGGCCUCAACACAAACCGGGGAUUAGUAAUCCGUGGGUACGGUUAGAUAGCAAUGUAGGCUUUUUUUAUACUGAGGUCAUUUCUUUGCUCCCCAAAUAAUUAAUCUUCUGGAAUAAGUUUGUGUGUAGUAGCAGAGCACUGAAUAUGUCCUGUGAGUGAACAGAUGAAGUUAGGGUUAGGUUUAGGGUUUGGGGUAGGGGUUAGAGUUGGGUUUUGGGGUUAGAGUUAGGGUUAGCGUUGGAGUUAGGGUUAGAGUUGGCUUUUGG